UUUUUGUGGGGAUGGAAGAGGCCUUCAGUCAUUAGAAAUGCUCAAGCACAAAGAAAAGGUAAGAUUUCCUACUAAGUUUUCUGUCUGCUACCUUGUUAGCAAUCAACCUAUUGGGAACAUUA
ensembl:snoRNA